rfam:[Eubacterium] eligens ATCC 27750 chromosome, complete genome.
GGCCUGGUGGCUCAGCUGGUUAGAGCGCCGCCCUGUCACGGCGGAGGUCGUGGGUUCGAACCCCAUCCGGGUCG